UGGUUUGGUGAGCUGGGAGGAUCUCGGGUUCUGGUUUCCCUUUUGGUGGAAUUUGGAGUUGUUUAGGGGAGAAUUUUAGGGGGUCCCGGCCCCUACCUUUGGGGGGGGGGUCAGGAUUUUGGGGGGCUGACCCUGCCCCGCAGCCCCUUCCGUGCCCCCCGGGGCCGUGGCCGCCGUUUCUUUCGGUGCCUUCGUGGUGGGGGCGGCGCUUGCGGGGGGCCUUUGGCUCGUGCACGGCCGGACAGCCCUCCGACCUCCCCCAGCGCUGCCCUCCAGCCCGGGGAGGGGCCAGGUGAUGAUUGGCAGCUCUGAGCGCUUAGGCUGAGAAAUGCCUGUGGGAAAAGGAAAUUCCGGCAGUGGAAAACGGACGCCGCAGCUCAUCCAGCCCAUCGCUCACCUGCUCAGGCCCCCAUGGCAGGGAAGAGCCACAGCCUGGGGAAAUUCGCAUGCGAGGGGGGAGACAGAACUAGCAAACUGGGGUAUUAAUUAAUAAAAAGUUCUGCCAUCUGUAACCAAA